AUGGUCAUCAAGAUGAACAAAAGAAAAAGGAUGGCUAGGGGAGUUGUCGUUUUUGUUGCACUAGUUGCAAUGGCAGUCAUUGUUCGAGCUAUAAUAGGGAAGAGAAGACCGUGUAUUACUUAUGGCCCAAUGCAUGAAAGAGGUAGAAUCGGAUAUGAUUAUUUAAACCAAAAGAUUUGGCAAAUUGAUGUGUUAUGUAAAAACAUGCUAAGGUUUGAAAGAGUCGCCUUCUUUCGCUUGUGUGGCAUAUUGAGGGAUUGCAAGUUGCUAGAAGACAGUCCACAUGUUAGUGUGGAGCAACAAUUGGCAAUGUUUUUUUUGCAUAUAAUUAGGCAUAACCUUCGUAACAGGGUCAUUUCAGCCAAUUUUUGUAGAUCAUACAACACAACCAACAUCUAUUUUAGAAAGGCUCUUCAUGCCAUGUGGCAAGCUCUGUAA
rnacentral:rRNA from 1 species